ensembl:lncRNA
GCGAAGGCUAAGGAAGCCUCGGCUCUGGAGAGUAAAGAACAUGCCUUCUCCUCUGCCCCUCCAGGCACCUUAUUUAAAAAAAAAAUUAAAAAAACAAACAAACAAACAAAAAAACCAACCACCACCUUUUAUUUAAAAGUCUAACCUUGGGAAUUUGCUGGUUUCAGGAAAGAGGAGCUGUGUGGAUCAUGAACCGACUCUCCUCGGUGUGGACUCUGUUUGGGGAUUGAUAGAGGCAUCAGCUGAAGGACAGAGGGAUACACCACCCGGCAAGGUCAUGUUAUGGGGACACCAUGGUUUUGAAGUUGUAUCUUGC